UGGGGAAUAUUGCACAAUGGGCGAAAGCCUGAUGCAGCAACGCCGCGUGAGUGAUGAAGGCCUUCGGGUUGUAAAGCUCUGUCUUUUGGGACGAUAAUGACGGUACCAAAGGAGGAAGCCACGGCUAACUACGUGCCAGCAGCCGCGGUAAUACGUAGGUGGCAAGCGUUGUCCGGAUUUACUGGGCGUAAAGGAUGCGUAGGCGGAUUUUUAAGUGAGAUGUGAAAUACCCGGGCUUAACUUGGGUGCUGCAUUUCAAACUGGGAAUCUAGAGUGCGGGAGAGGAGAAUGGAAUUCCUAGUGUAGCGGUGAAAUGCGUAGAGAUUAGGAAGAACACCAGUGGCGAAGGCGAUUCUCUGGACCGUAACUGACGCUGAGGCAUGAAAGCGUGGGUAGCAAACAGGAUUAGAUACCCUGGUAGUCCACGCCGUAAACGAUGAGUACUAGGUGUAGGAGGUAUCGACCCCUUCUGUGCCGCAGUUAACACAAUCAAGUACUCCGCCUGGGAAGUACGAUCGCAAGAUUAAAACUCAAAGGAAUUGACGGGGUCAUAGCUG
rnacentral:rRNA from 1 species